AGAUAGAUAGUCAUAGAAAGUAAACUAUCUAUGUGCUGCCAUCCUGUUAGAAGGUAACAGAUUAUUUUAUUACAAUGGUUAAAUUGGAUUUUCAUUGUGUUCAAUGGUGUUAUUUGCCCCCUAGUGGCGCUUUCUGGUACUUAGAAAGACAACGCAAACGGGAAGUUCAGAAUUUGUUCUGCACGCAUAGAAGCAGCUACAAACAACGCUACGGUGCAGGUCUUUCAAUGUAGUUAUUUCUUGUCACGCUUCAGCCUUGGAAAAAUAUUUGUUUUUUCACAACCUAAACGUUUGCAAUAUAUUCAUUCAAGAAAAGUCACGCCUUGGGAGUUUUAUUGAAGACUUAGUUGUUAGCUAUCUGUCUAGUUUUGCAUGGGAACGCAAUUCAAGGGCAGAAUAAUCUAUCUAUGUAAAAAAAAAAAAGAAGCUGACAGCUGCCUACCGUGAACCUGAAGAGUGACAGCCUUAGUGGGAAUCUGAUUGUCUGUUUCAGCAGUAACAAGAAAUUCCCCUGAGUCUUGCAGAGUCAGUUUCCUAAUUGUUAAACUGAAGUUAAUGACAUUCAUCUCUAGUCUCCCCUCGAACUGGGAUCCUCCUGAAUAUACAACUUCUGAGUUGAAUUCUGCAAUAUCCUUUCCUCUGUACUUCCACUGCAUUAUGGUGACAUUUUGCCCCUCUAAGCCUGCAGGGAUCUCCACGGAGUCCCCUACUGUCUUGUGGAACGACAGGCAACAUCUUGUGGUGAUGUCACUUUCUGUGACUUGUGGUCUCCGUGUCGACCUGUUUCUGUUUCUCAGGAGCAGUGACAAUGACCUGGCUGCCGGCUGUCUGUCUGAUCACAUAAACAUUAACACAUAGACACAGAAACCCUCUAACUGGAACAGUGACCUUCCAGACCAUGCAGGGACACUGGAAAUAGCAUGUUGAAUCUGUACAUCACAUCACUUGGUCCAGCAGUAGCAGCACCAGCAUCUGAAAUAUACAGCAGUACCAGGAGUACGACCAGUAGAACAUCAGAAACAACCAGGACCACAACCACUCCUACUAGGACUGAUGUAGAGGGUCCAGGAGUUAUGCCUGGAGAGAGAACAGCAAAUCACCGUCAGACUCUGAGGACCUGAGCCCUAGGACCAUGCCCCAGGACUACCUGACAUGAUGACUCCUUGCUGUCCCCAGUCCACCUGGCCGUGCUGCUGCUCCAGUUUCAACUGUUCUGCCUUAUUAUUAUUCGACCAUGCUGGUCAUUUAUGAACAUUUGAACAUCUUGGCCAUGUUCUGUUAUAAUCUCCACCUGGCACAGCCAGAAGAGGACUGGCCACCCCACAUAUGCUCUCUCUAAUUCUCUCUUUCUUUCUCUCUCUCGGAGGACCUGAGCCCUAGGACCACGCCCCAGGACUACCUGACAUGAUGACUCAUUGCUGUCCCCAGUCCACCUGACCGUGCUGCUGCUCCAGUUUCAACUGUUCUGCCUUAUUAUUAUUUCGACCAUGCUGGUCAUUUAUGAACAUUUGAACAUCUUGGCCAUGUUCUGUUAUAAUCUCCACCUGGCACAGCCAGAAGAGGACUGGCCACCCCACAUAGCCUGGUUCCUCUCUAGGUUUCUUCCUAGGUUUUGGCCUUUCUAGGGAGUUUUACCUACCUUCUUAGUGUUGCCUUUGUACCAUGUGUAGCUCCAGCCACUGUCAGACCCCACUGAACACGUCAGAGUUACUGUCUCUCCAGUGUAUGCAGGGUUUGGUGUUAUGUUGAGUGUAGCUUUGGGCAGGGCUGUGAGAAAAGAGCAUAAUUUGAAGACCUAGAUACCUGCUUAGCAAUUUCCAGAGUAGAUCGACACUCACUGAAGCCUUCCUUGGGCAGAGCUGUGGAAACACAGUUAUAUCUGUGCAGUCAGAGUGCAAAUCUCUCCAACACAUGAUCUGACUUCUUUAACCAGGUAAGUCAGUUAAGAUAAAAAUUCUUAUUUACAAUGACCACCUGGGAACAGUGGGUUAACUGCCUUGUUCAGGGGCUGAUCCUUACCUUGUCAGCUCAGGGAUUCGAUGCUUUAAGCACUAGGCUACCUUCCACCCCUAACUACCGGACAGUAAUUAUACAUUUUUAUAUUCAUACUGACGCACAGAUCAUGUGUAUAUGAUUGACUCAAUAUAAUGUGUCCAUUUUGUUUGAUAAAAAAAAACAUAAAAGUAACUCACCUUUCACAGUGAUAAUGACAGGAUCACUAAUGAUUGAUGAUAUGGAUCUGAACUGGAUCUCUCCCUGACACCAGUAGAGACCCUGGUCAGACUCAGCAGCUCUACUGGUGGUGAAGGUGGCUCCUGUUGUAGUGUGUCUGCCAAACAAGGUCACUACUUUCUUAGUGUUGUCUUUGUACCAUGUAUAGCUCCAGCCACUGUCAGACCCCACUGAACACGUCAGAGUUACUGUCUCUCCAUUGUAUUCAGGGUUUGGAUUCACGGUCAGUGUAGUUUCAGGAAGAGCUAAGAAAACAGAAAGCAAAAUAUGAAAACAUCUGGAUACAUGCUUGGUAACUUAAUAAAUAUACAUAUAGAUAGAUAGUACCAGUCAACAGUUUGGACACACCUUCUCAUUCAAGGGUUUUUCUACCUUGUCCUAUUUUCUCCAUUGUAGAAUAAUAGUCAAGACAACCAAAGUUUGAAAUAACACACAUGGAAUCAUGUAGUAACCAAAAAAAGUGUUAAACAAAUCUAAAUAUACUUUAUAUUUGAGAUUCUUCAAAGUAGCCACCCUUUGUGUUGAUUCCAGCUUUGCACUAUUUUAAUUUGAUUAAUUAAGUUAAACUUGGACAAAUGAAAUGUGUGUACCAAUAAGUUAAAAGUUUGAUCGUAGUACUAUACAACAUAUUUCUUAAAUUAUUCCACACAAUUUGAAUUUAUUAGUGGAGGAAUCUGAACAGCAAUGGUAGACAAGCAUUUUUAAAACAACUAGAUAGCCUCCUUAAAAUGGGUACCAAUGUCAAGUGGUUGUGGGCAUAGAGGCACUGAUGUGAAUGAGAGAUAAGAUGACUUACCUGUCACUGUCAGUCUGACAGCAUCACUCCACUUAGAAUGCUUCUUCUGAUCAAUAUGUGUACCCAGACACCUGUAGUCACCACUGUCUGAAAUCUUAACCUCACUGAUCUCAAAUUCAUGCUUCCUACUGAGAGAGUCUGCAUCAUCAUUGCUCCAUGUAUAUUCUCAGUCAGUGACUUCUCCCCUCUGUAUGUUACAUCUGAGAGUGACAGACUCUCCACUGAAUAUAUAUGAAGAUUUGGGGUGUAUGGUCAGAAAAGCCUUUGGCACUCCUAAACAAAAUAAAAACAGCAUGACACAA